rnacentral:rRNA from 2 species
GGGAUGGAGCAUCGCCGCGUGAGUGAAGAAGGGUUUCGGCUCGUAAAACUCUGUUGUUAAAGAAGAACAUAUCUGAGAGUAACUGUUCAGGUAUUGACGGUAUUUAACCAGAAAGCCACGGCUAACUACGUGCCAGCAGCCGCGGUAAUACGUAGGUGGCAAGCGUUGUCCGGAUUUAUUGGGCGUAAAGCGAGCGCAGGCGGUUUUUUAAGUCUGAUGUGAAAGCCUUCGGCUCAACCGAAGAAGUGCAUCGGAAACUGGGAAACUUGAGUGCAAAAGAGGACAGUGGAACUCCAUGUGUAGCGGUGAAAUGCGUAGAUAUAUGGAAGAACACCAGUGGCGAAGGCGGCUGUCUGGUCUGUAACUGACGCUGAGGCUCGAAAGUAUGGGUAGCAAACAGGAUUAGAUACCCUGGUAGUCCAUACCGUAAACGAUGAAUGCUAAGUGUUGGAGGGUUUCCGCCCUUCAGUGCUGCAGCUAACGCAUUAAGCAUUCCGCCUGGGGAGUACGGCCGCAAGGCUGAAACUCAAAGGAAUUGACGGGGGCCCGCACAAGCGGUGGAGCAUGUGGUUUAAUUCCAAGCUACGCGAAAAACCU